GGCUGGCAGUGCUUAAAGCCGCACUUACUCAUUCCUAUACCGGCUAGUUUACCAGGCUUGUUCAUCUUGUUCAUCGUGUGAGAACAAAGAAUGUUUGGCUGUGCGUUCAAGAAAAUACUGCAUGGCGACCCUAAUGAUAGCACAUUGAUUACUUGGAGCGAAUAUGCAAAAAUAAGUAUCCGUGAUAUUAACUGAAAGCGUUCCUACCUAGCGCACCAAAGCAUCCACCGUUCACGGCCAGCUGACCUCGAUGAUAACACUUGCGGAGAGCCACUCGGACCACUAAUAGAAUGGCUACAGAAAUUAGGAUUGUUGUUUUGUGUGUUUAUGCACUCAUUCAAAUAUAUUCUAUUGAUGUUCUUCUCGUAUCCACUAUUUGCAUCGAUGCAAGGCAUACUAGGGAGACCCAGAAGUAAAGAAAUGUUUUUUUUUUUUUUUUGGAAGGGGAAGGUGUGUGUAUACCGACGAGUACCACUGUAGGCACGCCUAUUACCCUAUAGUCUUUAUCACUCGACCAAGUAGCCUCCUUGUGUGAAAUUUCGCCUGCAAACUGCAUUGCCUUCUUUCAAAACCUGCGUCACCGGCUACGUUGGUACGGUAAGCUCCGUCAUUUUGAAUUUGUAUGGCAAAGUCAGAGAGUUCAGCAUUUCUACCUUUAAGUGCCCUAGCGGUUGCCUGAUGCAGUUUGAGUAAAACUACCUGUCUGUGAAGCUCAGGCGAGUGGCCUGUGCACCGCGACAAUGCUCCACCCACCCACCACUGGCCAUACAGUGCUUUCACACAAAAAUGGUAGGAGAACGCUACCUAACUCUUCCUCUAUAACACUUAUUUUACCCCUUACGAUCACCAAAAGUGAAACGAUGCAUUUAAGAAAAGCGUUUUCGAGAUGUGGCGGAGGCAAAGGAGUUAAACGACGAAAGCAUUCUGUGCCAUCAGUUUGCAGCUUUCGUGGCCGAUCCCCUGUAGUGUUUGGAAGCUACAUUCUUGAUAGUAAACACCAACAGCAGGAGUCACAGAACAGUUUUGAGCCAUGGAUAAAUUCGUGUGAGAAGUCCAUUGCGCUUCAUGGAGAGUUCUAUAAAGGUGCUUAUGUUUUGUAAAUGUUCGAAGAAAUACUCAACACGCCGCGGUGACUUAGUUAUAUUUUGGCGUCACGCUGCCAAGCACGAGGUCGCUGGUUCGUUUCCCGGCAGCGGGGGCCGCAUUUCGAAUGGUGUGAAAUGCAAAAAUAAAAAUAAAUACAAAUGGGAGCAAAUGUUUGACUACCGAGCACUUCAUGCACAUAUAAGAACCCUGGAAGGUGAAAAUUAUUCCGCAGUCUUCCAUUACGGCGUGCCUCAUAAUCAUGUCGGGCUUUUGGCGCGUAAAACCCCAGAUUAUUACUCAUUUCAUCUUUAAUAAAUAUCCGAAUUAUAAAAAAAAGUAUUCUCGUUAUUUUUGCUCCCCCUCCCUCGCCCCCUUCUAUGUAUCUCGUGUGCCUUAAGAGCUCAGUUUCGCGGUGCGGACGCCGUAGCAAGACCGCUUGGAAAUAAAUUUCGGGAUUCUUCAGCAAGCUGGAAAAGUUACAAGAAACGAGUGCCUUCGCGUGUCACUCCCACUGGUAUGCCGUUUCAUGCGCGGGAAAUCAAGCCACCUGCGGUGUAUGAGGUAUCUCUUAUUCCGUCUUUUUGAACGUGGUCCUAUAGCCCUCCGUACUACACUAGAUUUUGGAAUCUGGGGAAAUACAUCGGACACGAGUUUAGUGCUAAAGCUGGUCAGUCAUUAACACAAGUGAACUGAUGGGAAGACUGCGAGGAACCAAAAUAGAUGUCUGACAUAAAAUUUUCUGUAAGCUAUUGCUGAAAUGUGCAUUGAAUAUGUGCG